rnacentral:lncRNA from 1 species
CUCAUAAUAAUAAUAUCAUUAAUAGCAAAGGCAUUCAACAUUACGCAAAAGUCAUUUAACAUGUCAUUCAAAAUAGGCAUCAACAUGUUCUAAAUCCAUCAAAAUCAAAAUCCAAAAGUAUGUCAUAGAGAUCAACAGAAAUUUCAUUCCUCCUAGAAAUACAAAGACCUAUCAUCUAAAACAAAAACAAUCAUAAUGAAGCAUAAUCAGCAGAACUAGAAUCACAAUCAACAUCAAUGCUGGCAACUUGGCUCCUCGAGAUCCUGCUUCUUAUC